rnacentral:rRNA from 1 species
GGGUUGUGAGGUUAAGCGACUAAGCGUACACGGUGGAUGCCCUGGCAGUCAGAGGCGAUGAAGGGCGUGCUAAUCUGCGAUAAGCGCCGGUAAGGUGAUAUGAACCGUUAUAACCGGCGAUACCCGAAUGGGGAAACCCAGUGUGAUUCGUCACACUAUCAUUAACUGAAUCCAUAGGUUAAUGAGGCGAACCGGGGAACUGAAACAUCUAAGUACCCCGAGGAAAAGAAAUCAACCGAGAUUCCCCCAGUAGCGGCGAGCGAACGGGGAGGAGCCCAGAGCCUGAAUCAGCAUGUGUGUUAGUGGAAGCGUCUGGAAAGGCGCGCGAUACAGGGUGACAGCCCCGUACACAAAAGCGCAUGUGCUGUGAGCUCGAUGAGUAGGGCGGGACACGUGGUAUCCUGUCUGAAUAUGGGGGGACCAUCCUCCAAGGCUAAAUACUCCUGACUGACCGAUAGUGAACCAGUACCGUGAGGGAAAGGCGAAAAGAACCCCGGCGAGGGGAGUGAAAAAGAACCUGAAACCGUGUACGUACAAGCAGUGGGAGCACAGGUUUACCUGUGUGACUGCGUACCUUUGUAUAAUGGGUCAGCGACUUAUAUUCUGUAGCAAGGUUAACCGAAUAGGGAGCCGGAGGGAAACCGAGUCUUAAUUGGGCGUUAAGUUGCAGGGUAUAGACCCGAAACCCGGUGAUCUAGCCAUGGGCAGGUUGAAGGUUGGGUAACACUAACUGGAGGACCGAACCGACUAAUGUUGAAAAAUUAGCGGAUGACCUGUGGCUGGGGUGAAAGGCCAAUCAAACCGGGAGAUAGCUGGUUCUCCCCGAAAGCUAUUUAGGUAGCGCCUCGUGAAUUCAUCUCCGGGGGUAGAGCACUGUUUCGGCUAGGGGGCCAUCCCGGCUUACCAACCCGAUGCAAACUGCGAAUACCGGAGAAUGUUAUCACGGGAGACACACGGCGGGUGCUAACGUCCGUCGUGAAGAGGGAAACAACCCAGACCGCCAGCUAAGGUCCCAAAGUCAUGGUUAAGUGGGAAACGAUGUGGGAAGGCCCAGACAGCCAGGAUGUUGGCUUAGAAGCAGCCAUCAUUUAAAGAAAGCGUAAUAGCUCACUGGUCGAGUCGGCCUGCGCGGAAGAUGUAACGGGGCUAAACCAUGCACCGAAGCUGCGGCAGCGACACUGUGUGUUGUUGGGUAGGGGAGCGUUCUGUAAGCCUGUGAAGGUGUGUCGUGAGGCAUGCUGGAGGUAUCAGAAGUGCGAAUGCUGACAUAAGUAACGAUAAAGCGGGUGAAAAGCCCGCUCGCCGGAAGACCAAGGGUUCCUGUCCAACGUUAAUCGGGGCAGGGUGAGUCGACCCCUAAGGCGAGGCCGAAAGGCGUAGUCGAUGGGAAACGGGUUAAUAUUCCCGUACUUGGUGUUACUGCGAAGGGGGGACGGAGAAGGCUAUGUUGGCCGGGCGACGGUUGUCCCGGUUUAAGCGUGUAGGUGUGUGUUCCAGGUAAAUCCGGUUCACUUUAACACUGAGGCGUGACGACGAGGCACUACGGUGCUGAAGCAACAAAUGCCCUGCUUCCAGGAAAAGCCUCUAAGCAUCAGGUAACAUCAAAUCGUACCCCAAACCGACACAGGUGGUCAGGUAGAGAAUACCAAGGCGCUUGAGAGAACUCGGGUGAAGGAACUAGGCAAAAUGGUGCCGUAACUUCGGGAGAAGGCACGCUGACACGUAGGUGAAGUGAUUUACUCAUGGAGCUGAAGUCAGUCGAAGAUACCAGCUGGCUGCAACUGUUUAUUAAAAACACAGCACUGUGCAAACACGAAAGUGGACGUAUACGGUGUGACGCCUGCCCGGUGCCGGAAGGUUAAUUGAUGGGGUCAGCGCAAGCGAAGCUCCUGAUCGAAGCCCCGGUAAACGGCGGCCGUAACUAUAACGGUCCUAAGGUAGCGAAAUUCCUUGUCGGGUAAGUUCCGACCUGCACGAAUGGCGUAAUGAUGGCCAGGCUGUCUCCACCCGAGACUCAGUGAAAUUGAACUCGCUGUGAAGAUGCAGUGUACCCGCGGCAAGACGGAAAGACCCCGUGAACCUUUACUAUAGCUUGACACUGAACAUUGAGCCUUGAUGUGUAGGAUAGGUGGGAGGCUUUGAAGUGUGGACGCCAGUCUGCAUGGAGCCGACCUUGAAAUACCACCCUUUAAUGUUUGAUGUUCUAACGUGGACCCGUUACCCGGGUUGCGGACAGUGUCUGGUGGGUAGUUUGACUGGGGCGGUCUCCUCCUAAAGAGUAACGGAGGAGCACGAAGGUUGGCUAAUCCUGGUCGGACAUCAGGAGGUUAGUGCAAUGGCAUAAGCCAGCUUGACUGCGAGCGUGACGGCGCGAGCAGGUGCGAAAGCAGGUCAUAGUGAUCCGGUGGUUCUGAAUGGAAGGGCCAUCGCUCAACGGAUAAAAGGUACUCCGGGGAUAACAGGCUGAUACCGCCCAAGAGUUCAUAUCGACGGCGGUGUUUGGCACCUCGAUGUCGGCUCAUCACAUCCUGGGGCUGAAGUAGGUCCCAAGGGUAUGGCUGUUCGCCAUUUAAAGUGGUACGCGAGCUGGGUUUAGAACGUCGUGAGACAGUUCGGUCCCUAUCUGCCGUGGGCGCUGGAGAACUGAGGGGGGCUGCUCCUAGUACGAGAGGACCGGAGUGGACGCAUCACUGGUGUUCGGGUUGUCAUGCCAAUGGCACUGCCCGGUAGCUAAAUGCGGAAGAGAUAAGUGCUGAAAGCAUCUAAGCACGAAACUUGCCCCGAGAUGAGUUCUCCCUGAGACUUAGAGUCUCCUGAAGGAACGUUGAAGACGACGACGUUGAUAGGCCGGGUGUGUAAGCGCAGCGAUGCGUUGAGCUAACCGGUACUAAUGAACCGUGAGGCUUAACCUUACAACGCCGAAG